GAGUUUGAUCCUGGCUCAGAUUGAACGCUGGCGGCAGGCCUAACACAUGCAAGUCGAGCGGAUGACGGGAGCUUGCUCCUUGAUUCAGCGGCGGACGGGUGAGUAAUGCCUAGGAAUCUGCCUGGUAGUGGGGGACAACGUUUCGAAAGGAACGCUAAUACCGCAUACGUCCUACGGGAGAAAGCAGGGGACCUUCGGGCCUUGCGCUAUCAGAUGAGCCUAGGUCGGAUUAGCUAGUUGGUGGGGUAAUGGCUCACCAAGGCGACGAUCCGUAACUGGUCUGAGAGGAUGAUCAGUCACACUGGAACUGAGACACGGUCCAGACUCCUACGGGAGGCAGCAGUGGGGAAUAUUGGACAAUGGGCGAAAGCCUGAUCCAGCCAUGCCGCGUGUGUGAAGAAGGUCUUCGGAUUGUAAAGCACUUUAAGUUGGGAGGAAGGGCGAGUAAGUUAAUACCUUGCUGUUUUGACGUUACCGACAGAAUAAGCACCGGCUAACUCUGUGCCAGCAG
rnacentral:rRNA from 1 species